UACGUAGGGUGCAAGCGUUAUCCGGAUUCACUGGGUUUAAAGGGUGCGUAGGUGGGCAGGUAAGUCAGUGGUGAAAUCUCCGGGCUUAACCCGGAAACUGCCAUUGAUACUAUUUGGCUUGAAUACUGUGGAGGUCAGCGGAAUAUGUCAUGUAGCGGUGAAAUGCUUAGAUAUGACAUAGAGCACCAAUUGCGAAGGCAGCUGGCUACACAAAUAUUGACACUGAGGCACGAAAGCGUGGGGAUCAAACAGG
rnacentral:rRNA from 1 species